rnacentral:lncRNA from 1 species
CGCAUAAAUGAAUACUCAAAGAACUUGAAUGAGCGUGACAUAUUCCUUGAAAGGAAAAGGCAUAGCUAGAGGCUUGACUAAAACAUAAUCAGCGUUUGCAGCGGAAGGCGUCACUGAAAUAAUCAGUGUUUACAGCGGAAAGCAUAACUGAGAUACAUGUAUGAGGACAUGUAUCCUUUCUGAGCCUACUUUAAGUUCGACAAAAACUCCACUCAGCAACAC